GUCUGUUUGGAGGUAUAAAAAGUCUGGCCUGCCCACUGAUAGUUUUUAAAGGGCCGCGGUAAUUUGACCGUGCAAAGGUAGCAUAAUCGUUAGUUUUUUAAUUGGAAUCUUGUAUGAAUGGCUGAACAAAAGAGUGACUGUCUCUAUAUUUUAUUUGAAUUUAACUUUUGAGUGAAAAGGCUCAAAUAUUUUAAAAAGACGAUAAGACCCUGUAAAGCUUGAUAAAUUUUAUUAUUUAACUGAAUUAGUAUAUUGAUAAAAGUUUAAUGAGAAUAAUUUAUUUUAUUGGGGCGAUAAUGAUAAAAAGUUUCUAACUGUUUAUAGAAGAAAACAAAGUUUUAGUGUAUAAUUAAAUAUAAAUGAUCCUUAAGUUAAGAUUAAAAGUUUAAGUUACUUUAGGGAUAACAGCGUUAUUUUUCUUGAGAGUUCUUAUCGAAAGAAAAGUUUGCGACCUCGAUGUUGAAUUAAAAUUUCUAUAUAAUUGUAGCAGUUAUAUUAGAGGGUCUGUUCGACCUUUAAAUUUUUACAUGAUUUGAGUUCAAACCGGCGUGAG
rnacentral:rRNA from 1 species